rnacentral:lncRNA from 1 species
GAGGGCCUCGGUCGGACUCGGACCUUGGAUUGAGAUGGCCUAGGGUUAGCAGGUCACGGGCGCUGGGAAAUUAUAUCGAUCUCGCCCGUUCGGUUGAGCAAUUCGGCCGUCUUUAAUUCGUACAAAUCAGCCGUGCAACAAUGUUUUCCUCCAACAACAAAUCAGUCUGCCGAACAUUAAUGCAUCCGACGGUCUUUCAGAUCCUGGCACCCAUCUUGUUGCUUUGCAUCUGCAUCUGCCCUCCCCCUCCUGCAGGUAGCCUUGCCUUCGUUGCCGCAAAGGCAAAGGGAAAUCCCCAGAGCGCAGCAGGCAGGAGGUUGAUGUAUGACGCUGCCACGGAACCGCUGGCUGCACAAAGUCAUAAAAGAACUAAACAAAGUCGUCGUAAUCAUUCUAAAAAGAUUAUGAAAAAUAAUAAUAAUAAUAAGAGUGAGAGACAGACAUAUACGUAGUAUAGGAAUUGAUUUACGUACCAGUUUCCAUAGAUCGAUUCGAUUCUUCUGACCGCCCCUCUCUCGUCCACCGCGAGAACGAAU